rnacentral:tRNA from 1 species
GCUUAAAAGCCGAACGCUCUACCAACUGAGCUAACGAGGA